rnacentral:rRNA from 1 species
UACGAAGGGGGCUAGCGUUGCUCGGAAUCACUGGGCGUAAAGCGCACGUAGGCGGGUCGUUAAGUCAGGGGUGAAAUCCUGGAGCUCCAACUCCAGAACUGCCCUUGAUACUGGCGAUCUCGAGUUCGGGAGAGGUGAGUGGGAACUGCGAGUGUAGAGGUGAAAUUCGUAGAUAUUCGCAAGAACACCAGUGGCGAAGGCGGCUCACUGGCCCGAUACUGACGCUGACGGUG